GGAAGACUCUUCACGGUGGUUGGCUGAAACCCCAACUUAGUCGUGAGCAUCUGUGACUAUGGAUCUUUGAGUAGAAUUUGAAGCAUCCUGGUGAAUUUUCUCAGCCUCAGGGUACCUCAAAAGCCAUGCAAUCCUUAAAGCUCAAUUCCAGUAAUAUCUCCAUCAAGAAGCCAUUUGUGAAUCCUGCCAGUGGAUACCACGAGCAGGGAGUCAUUCCCUCUUCCUGACAACGGGCAGGACUAGAGACAAGGACAAGUUCAAGUUAAGCUCUUUACAGAGAGUAGGUUCCUCGAAGACUAGACUCCUGCCUUCAUAUUAAUAAGAGUGCUAAUGUUUCAUCCUAAGAUCAUUGCCUAGAAUGUGCUGAGUCCUUUGCCCCACACUGGCAUCUGUAAAAGUUUAACAGCAAGUGUGAGACCAUAGCAGAGACCUACAGAGAUGAAAGGAAGCUGGUUUCCUUCAAAUAAAGCUCUUCCCA